rnacentral:rRNA from 1 species
CCUACGGGGGGCUGCAGUGGGGAAUAUUGGACAAUGGGGGCAACCCUGAUCCAGCCAUGCCGCGUGUGUGAAGAAGGCCCUCGGGUUGUAAAGCACUUUCAGUGAGGAAGAACGCCUGGUGGUUAAUACCCAUCAGGAAAGACAUCACUCACAGAAGAAGCACCGGCUAACUCCGUGCCAGCAGCCGCGGUAAUACGGAGGGUGCGAGCGUUAAUCGGAAUUACUGGGCGUAAAGCGCGCGUAGGUGGCUUGAUAAGCCGGUUGUGAAAGCCCCGGGCUCAACCUGGGAACGGCAUCCGGAACUGUCAAGCUAGAGUGCAGGAGAGGAAGGUAGAAUUCCCGGUGUAGCGGUGAAAUGCGUAGAGAUCGGGAGGAAUACCAGUGGCGAAGGCGGCCUUCUGGACUGACACUGACACUGAGGUGCGAUAGCGUGGGUAGCAAACAGGAUUAGAUACCCGGGUAGUC